GUGGGGAAUUUUGGACAAUGGGCGCAAGCCUGAUCCAGCAAUGCCGCGUGCAGGAAGAAGGCCUUCGGGUUGUAAACUGCUUUUGUACAGAACGAAACGGUCCUGGUUAAUACCUGGGGCUAAUGACGGUACCGUAAGAAUAAGCACCGGCUAACUACGUGCCAGCAGCCGCGGUAAUACGUAGGGUGCAAGCGUUAAUCGGAAUUACUGGGCGUAAAGCGUGCGCAGGCGGUUUUGUAAGACAGGAGUGAAAUCCCCGGGCUCAACCUGGGAAUUGCGCUUGUGACUGCAAGGCUGGAGUGCGGCAGAGGGGGAUGGAAUUCCGCGUGUAGCAGUGAAAUGCGUAGAUAUGCGGAGGAACACCGAUGGCGAAGGCAAUCCCCUGGGCCUGCACUGACGCUCAUGCACGAAAGCGUGGGGAGCAAACAGGAUUAGAUACCCUUGUAGUCC
rnacentral:rRNA from 1 species